CCCCUCGUGGCGGAAUUGGCAGACGCAGCGGUCUCAGAAGCCGUGGCCACAAGGCAUGUCCGUUCGACUCGGACCGAGGGGACCA
rnacentral:tRNA from 1 species